rnacentral:rRNA from 1 species
CAAUAGCGUAUAUUAAAGUUGUUGCGGUUAAAAAGCUCGUAGUUGGAUUUCUGCUGAGAACGACCGGUCCGCCCUCUGGGUGUGUAUCUGGCUCUUUCUUGGCAUCUUCUUGGUGAACGUUGCUGCACUUGACUGUGUGGAGCGCUACCCAGGACUUUUACUUUGAGGAAAUUAGAGUGUUUCAAGCAGGCAUACGCCUUGAAUACAUUAGCAUGGAAUAAUAAGAUAGGACCUCGGUUCUAUUUUGUUGGUUUCUAGAGCUGAGGUAAUGAUUAAUAGGGAUAGUUGGGGGCAUUCGAAUUUAACUGUCAGGGGUGAAAUUCUUGGAUUUGUUAAAGACGGACUACUGCGAAAGCAUUUGCCAAGGAUGUUUNCAUUGA